UCAAACUUGGUCAUUUAGAGGAAGUAAAAGUCGUAACAAGGUUUCCGUAGGUGAACCUGCGGAAGGAUCAUUGAAAAAUCUACUUGAGCCGCAAGGCUCUUAUUACCUUGUGAAAUGUUUGUGGGGGUACGCCCUUGUGAUGGGUGGUCACCAUAUGGUUGGGAUCGGUUCGCUGAUCGCAAGGUGACCGUUAAUUACAUACGGGUGGCCCCCCUGGUUUAUAUUACCAUUUAAACAUAUGUCUUUGAUGUUUGGGGAAUGUAUAUCUGUUGUAAUACAUAUACAACUUUCAACAGUGGAUCUCUCGGCUCUUGCAUCAAUGAAGAACGCAGC
rnacentral:misc_RNA from 1 species